AUGAACGCUGGCGGCGUGCCUAAUACAUGCAAGUCGAGCGAACAGACGAGGAGCUUGCUCCUCUGACGUUAGCGGCGGACGGGUGAGUAACACGUGGAUAACCUACCUAUAAGACUGGGAUAACUUCGGGAAACCGCAGCUAAUACCGGAUAAUAUAUUGAACCGCAUGGUUCAAUAGUGAAAGACGGUUUUGCUGUCACUUAUAGAUGGAUCCGCGCCGCAUUAGCUAGUUGGUAAGGUAACGGCUUACCAAGGCGACGAUGCGUAGCCGACCUGAGAGGGUGAUCGGCCACACUGGAACUGAGACACGGUCCAGACUCCUACGGGAGGCAGCAGUAGGGAAUCUUCCGCAAUGGGCGAAAGCCUGACGGAGCAACGCCGCGUGAGUGAUGAAGGUCUUCGGAUCGUAAAACUCUGUUAUUAGGGAAGAACAAAUGUGUAAGUAACUAUGCACGUCUUGACGGUACCUAAUCAGAAAGCCACGGCUAACUACGUG
rnacentral:rRNA from 1 species